UGAUGUUGUUGUAAAUGAUGUAAAAAUUCAGAUCUCCGCGAGGACAAAGCAUAUCUUGCCGAUCAUCCCGGUGCUGUUGCAAUCACUUCGGCCCAAGGAGAGGAACUCAGGAAACAAGUUGGGGCUGCAGCAUACAUAGAAUGCAGUUCAAAGACACAGCAGAAUGUCAAAUCUGUUUUUGAUACUGCUAUCAAAGUUGUUCUCCAACCUCCAAGGAAAAGGGAGAUUUCAAAGAAGAAGAAGAGGAAAAAUUCUGGUUGCUUG